GAUGGGAGCUUGCUCCCUGAUGUUAGCGGCGGACGGGUGAGUAACACGUGGGUAACCUGCCUGUAAGACUGGGAUAACUCCGGGAAACCGGGGCUAAUACCGGAUGGUUGUUUGAACCGCAUGGUUCAAACAUAAAAGGUGGCUUCGGCUACCACUUACAGAUGGACCCGCGGCGCAUUAGCUAGUUGGUGAGGUAAUGGCUCACCAAGGCAACGAUGCGUAGCCGACCUGAGAGGGUGAUCGGCCACACUGGGACUGAGACACGGCCCAGACUCCUACGGGAGGCAGCAGUAGGGAAUCUUCCGCAAUGGACGAAAGUCUGACGGAGCAACGCCGCGUGAGUGAUGAAGGUUUUCGGAUCGUAAAGCUCUGUUGUUAGGGAAGAACAAGUACCGUUCGAAUAGGGCGGUACCUUGACGGUACCUAACCAGAAAGCCACGGCUAACUACGUGCCAGCAGCCGCGGUAAUACGUAGGUGGCAAGCGUUGUCCGGAAUUAUUGGGCGUAAAGGGCUCGCAGGCGGUUUCUUAAUUCUGAUGUGAAAGCCCCCGGCUCCCCCGGGGAGGGUCAUUGGAAACUGGGGAACUUGAGUGCAGAAGAGGAGAGUGGAAUUCCACGUGUAGCGGUGAAAUGCGGAGAGAUGUGGAGGAACACCCAGUGGCGAAGGCGACUCUCUGGUCUGUAACUGACGCUGAAGAGCGAAAGCGUGGGGAGCGAACAGGAUUAGAUACCCUGGUAGUCCACCCCGUAACGAUGAGUGC
rnacentral:rRNA from 1 species